GAGACAAGCAUAUGACUACUGGCAGGAUCAACCAGGUAGCAUUCCUUCGCGACGCCGACGCCCGCAUGAGACCCGGCAGGCCGUACAGCCACGGGCUCAAGACGGGCACGGCAGUCGUUCGUGUCGUAAGACAAAUGCGUUGCUUGGGCAAACGGAGCUAAUAAAUAGACCCCGCACCCGCACAUAACAUUCCGCAUCCGAGAGCACGGGCAAUGCACCUCAUGGGCCGAGGCAGCGACGCAGCUGGGCGAAGCAUGCCGGGAACACGAGGCUUGCCUGAUGUCCACCCCAAAACCCGUGAGGGCAGGGGGCGGAAAGGGACUAACGAAACCAUCGGAUUCCUUUCGAUAGGUAAGCAACACAGGAUACCGAA
rnacentral:misc_RNA from 1 species